rnacentral:rRNA from 1 species
GUGGGGAAUUUUGGACAAUGGGCGCAAGCCUGAUCCAGCCAUUCCGCGUGCAGGAUGAAGGCCUUCGGGUUGUAAACUGCUUUUGUACGGAACGAAAAGCCUCUGGUUAAUACCCGGGGGUCAUGACGGUACCGUAAGAAUAAGCACCGGCUAACUACGUGCCAGCAGCCGCGGUAAUACGUAGGGUGCGAGCGUUAAUCGGAAUUACUGGGCGUAAAGCGUGCGCAGGCGGUGAUGUAAGACAGUUGUGAAAACCCCGGGCUCAACCUGGGAACUGCAGCUGUGACUGCAUUGCUGGAGUGCGGCAGAGGGGGAUGGAAUUCCGCGUGUAGCAGUGAAAUGCGUAGAUAUGCGGAGGAACACCGAUGGCGAAGGCAAUCCCCUGGGCCUGCACUGACGCUCAUGCACGAAAGCGUGGGGAGCAAACAGGAUUAGAUACCCGUGUAGUCC